UACAGAGGGGGCAAGCGUUGUUCGGAAUUACUGGGCGUAAAGGGCGCGUAGGCGGCCCUCUAAGUCAGACGUGAAAUCCCUCGGCUCAACCGGGGAACUGCGUCUGAGACUGGGGGGCUUGAAUCCGGGGGAGGGAUGUGGAAUUCCAGGUGUAGCGGUGAAAUGCGUAGAUAUCUGGAGGAACACCGGUGGCGAAGGCGGCAUCCUGGACCGGUAUUGACGCUGAGGCGCGAAAGCCAGGGGAGCAAACGGGG
rnacentral:rRNA from 1 species